UACAUUUAUAGCUCAACGGAUAGAGCGCCGAGCUUCGAACUCGUUAGUUGCAGGUUCAAAUCCUGCUAAGUGUAU
rnacentral:tRNA from 1 species